rnacentral:lncRNA from 12 species
UUUAGAUGUUUACUAGUUAAUAGUUUUUAGUCCUUCACAAAAGGAUUAUUUAAUCCUCAUGAUCAAGAAGACUUCCUAGUUAUGCUUUCUUGGUAUUAUCUUCUUACAUAUUAUUGUUCUGUUCUCCACAUAGUCAUAUGUCUUCAACAUAUAACUGAAUUGAGUGACUGCAUAUGUGGAAGGAGAAGGAGACGAAGUCCAAAGAAACAGUUUCUUAUAGUUUCUACACCUAACAUGAGGCUUGAACUCAUGACCUUGGGACCAAGAGUUACAUGCUCUUCUGACUGAGUGAGGCAGGUAUCCCAGUUUAUAGUCAUUAUUGAAGAUAAUGCAGUUUAGUGGUUAUACCACAUUCAUACAAGUCUGAAAUUUAAAUUCCAGCUUUGACCAUUUCUGGAUAUAUACCUUUAGGUCAUUUACUUAAACUAUCUGAGCUUUGUUACUUCAUGUGGCUAUUACUAUUAUUUAAGAGACACUAUGAUUUUAAGUAAGAUAAGGCACCUAAAGCACUUAGUAUGGGCACUGGUACACAGUCAUGAUGGCUAUUGCUAACUCAUAUAAUUUCUAUUCUCACUAAUCCUGAUCUGUCAUUUUCUGUGAAGGAUAUGAUACCAGUUCUCAUCCUCUUUCUUUGAUUACUUCUUCUUAGUCUCUUUGGCUGUUAUUUUUCCUUCCAUUUCUUAUAUUUACAUCUUCUCAAAGUUUUUUUGUUUGUUUGUCCACAGGCUCCCCUAGGUGAUCUUUUCCUUUGUUUGUUAUAGAUUGCAUGCUUAUUUUUCCUUAGAAUUCAUAUGUUGAAAAUCUAAUCCCCAAAUGAUGGUGUUUCGUGAUGGGGCCUAUGGGAGGUAAUCAGGCCAUGAGGUUAGAGCCCUCAUCCUGGGAUUAGUACCCUUAUAAAACAGGACUUGAGAAUUUACUUCCUCUCAUUUUGUGCUGUGUGAGAAUACAAUGGAAAGGUGGCCUUGUGCAAACCUUGAAACAGCCUCUCACCAGACACUAUAUGUGUCAUCACCUUGAUCUUGGACUUCCUAGCCUCCAAAACUGAAAAAUGGAUUGAUUGCUGUCUAAAGUAAUCAAUCUGUGAUAUUUUGUCAUAGCAUCCUUAUACUAAGACUCUCUUGGUAUAAAAUAUCACUUUUUAAUUCUAAUCCUUUGAAUUCUGGAAUAUAAAUCUAUAAACAUAUCUCCCCUUUUUGGAUCACCUCAUAUAUAUCAUAUUUCCUUCAGAAGACUUCUAAAUAUCUUUCUGAUGACUCACCCUCCACACACUUCAGUCUGAAUUAAUCUAGUUCCCAAAUCUAUCUCAUUAUCCUUGAAUUACCAGUUAGUGGUACUUCAAUACUCACAGUCACUCUAAUUUUUGAGUACAUUGUAAUCUUUUCCCAAUUAAUCAUUUGCCUAAUAAAAUGAAUUCUACCUUCA